CCCCCCCUUCUCUCUAAGAACACUUCUCCAGCUGGGGACCUUUCUAUUUGCCUCGUCUUCCUUGCAGAAAUACAAGUCCUCCUUUUGCCCAAUCUAAAUAAUCUAUGUGCAGCAGCUCAGUGUGUGAUCAGCCUCCUAACCAGCGCUCAGUCUCCUCUUUUUAACCACAGGACUCAAGACACAACACCUUCUUUUUAUCAGACCUCACAACCAGCCCGUGCCGCUUGCAGCUCGUGAGUAAUGUUUCUCCUUGAGAGCCCAGAAGUUCUGUUUGAGCCAUUCACCUCCCCAUUCCCACACACCUGGCUAUCCCCCAUGUACAACUUCCCAAUGGGAGCUCCUUUAUUCACCCCGACCUACACCAUUGCCCUCUGCUCUACUGAGAGGCCAAAUGUUUUUGUGCCUGCCCAUUGCUGUACAUUUUAACCCCUCCCCCACCAAACUUUGGAUCUCCUUCCUUUAAUUCCAGAAGUGUGUGUGGCUAUUUCCACUCCUGAUAGCGCUGAAUAAACAGCAUUUUUCAUUUUCCCAUGGGAAAAGAUCAGCCUGGAAGGAAAACCCAGAGCGUGAGCUUGGUGCCAUGUGGGAGGGGAACCUCCCUGGUAACAGAGCGUUUACAUGAUUUGCAUGAUCUGAAGAGGAAUAAGAGAAUGGAAGCCAGUGCUAGGAAGCAGGGUAAGAGCUACAGGCAGGUUUCUCAGGAAGCUGGCAGCAUGGUGACAGCACAGCUGUCAUCAAUCUGCUUUGAUUCCGGGUGUGAACAAGUUAGAGCUUGCACCUGUCUCAAAGCAGUUUGGGGAGGAACGGAUGAAACCUGCGGCUUGUUAACAGGAGGGUCAGCUGGUGGGUACAUAAGCUCCAUUCUCAGUUGGUCACUCAAGAGUGAGGAAGAAAGUUGGGCCCUUUUGGCUCCUGCUCUCUGCUCUAGCGCUACGCAGCAAAAAAAACCCAGCUAAUCCGGGAUGAAGCUUUGCCUUGCAAGCUUGGGGAGCCCUUAGUCCGCGGGCAGGAAUCCCAGUUCUAUUACUCUCCAGGGAUGUAGCAGGCACGUGAGGGCUCAUCAGAGACGGGCUGUCCUCAAGGAGUCCCUGCACAUGUGAUGAGAGAAUUAAAACAGAGGGGCGUCAAUACUAUGGAUAUUUCAAGUCUCCAGGGAGCUCUGCUUGGAAGGAAAGAGACGGCAGAGCGCCUGCAGCAGAACUAAAGCUUCAGCUCACUGAAUUCUCUUCUUUUUCCUCCCACUUCUGCAAGAACACCCUUCAGACCACCGUUGCUUCAGCCAUAGAAGUGAUGUAGUCAAGGUCCACGAGUCCACGUGAGAGCUCAGACAGGGAGGAGGAGGAGGAGGAGACCCAAGUGGCCGCUUUCUCAGUGCUGAGGACUAUGUGCCCUGCUGCCAACCCCAGCACCGGGCUCCUCCACCUCCCAUGGGGCUCCCUGUGCUGUGAGUGACCGCAUCCAUCCCUGCACCACGUCCUCCAGACAGAGCCAUGCUGCAGCUCGGGGCAUUCUCCAAAGAAAUUGCUUUCUCGUGACUAAAUGUUAGCACAGAGAAUGAACGAAGAAAGACCACAAAUUUACUUAAAAUUCAUCACUGGCUCCCCAGCACAGGGGAAAGUCUGGGGUCGGUGUCAUGUCCUGCAGCGGAUGCAGGAAGAUUGGCUGCUUGUGUUCACAGAAUCCUUAAGGUUGGAAAACACCACAAAGACCAUCUAGUGCAACCACGUUGGGGUGGUCUGCUCGGACACAUCUCCUAAGAGCUUCAAACUUUCCACAGUUUCCUUAUCCUUGUCCCUGAGGGAAAGCACCAGGGACACCAAGGCACAGAGUCCUUGUAGGCAUGGCUGGCUGCCAGCCACCCUUGUCCUCUGGUUAAUAGAGGAGCAAAUGGAAUGAUUGUAGGUAAUACGAGCACUGCACAACCCCGUCAUAGCCAGGAAUGUUUCAGCUGCAUCAUUAUUGUAUUCUUUUUUCCUGCAACAUCUCAUUUGCCCUUGGUUGUAAGAGGAUUGAGCUGAUGUUGGGGGCGUUUUCAAUUCUUCAGCAAAAAUUUUGGUAUUUUUCGUAAGGAAAAGGCAUGAAUGGACACAGCAGUUUUGACUGACCUGAUUAGAAGUAUAGGAGAAAGCACUUCAUGUGGGUGCAUUGCCCUGAUGUCCUGGGCUGCAGGCUGAAGCUGUGCUCACCCCUCCCAGGUGCAAACACUCAGGCUCUGCUGGGCAGAUGAAGCACAGCUGGGUAACGAGCAGGUCCUGGUGGGCAUUGUUUGCUGGCCUGGUAAGCUGCCCUGCCUAUUUAGGGAACUGACCCAAACCUGGGAGCUCAGAAAUGUGAUGCUCUGUGCUGCAGCCUUUCAUGGUCUUCUUCAAAUUCAGUAGGCAUGCCUUUGCCACCACCAGCAGCAGUUUUUCUCCUUGGAUUUCAGGUGCUAUUUGCAUCUCACCAUUUGGGACCUGGCCAUCGCUGCUUUCAUCCACCAAUCUUGGAAGGAGGUGUUGCUGCCCUGCUGACAACUCACCCGCUCCCACCAGAGGAACCCUGAGGGCUGGGAUGCACAUUGCUUUCUGCCCUGGGGCUGUAAGCAGGAACAGCAGUUUGGUGAUUUCCUUGGCUCUGUGUUGCUUGUCACUGGAGCAGCCGGGGCUGGGUGGAAGAGAGUGGCUGCACAUCUUUCUGCUCCUGGUGGCUCUUACUGUUAAAAGCCAGCCCUGUGCCACGGACUGGCCCAGCCCUUCAGGUGGUAGACAACCUGCUUCAGCAGCAGCUUUGUUCAGAAUUUAUCGGGCUGCAGCUGGGAAUCUUUCCCUUUGAUCCAUCUCUGCUAUUAAACAGCUUCUGAUAAUGCCGCCGAGUUCACAUCAAGGAGGGGAAGCCGAGCAACCUCAAUUUUGGAGCUGGGCAGCAGCGGGGAGCCCGUCUUAAAGCUGCAUCACCUCACUGGCUUCAAAAGCGAAGGAGCUCCUUUUAUUGCAGCGUGCUGCACUCCAGGAAUGAUUAAAGUCCUGUAAACGCGCACCUUCCUCAUCACAGAGCUGUCUGCAGGCAGGGUGCCAAGUACAACAAGCCCAAUCCAAAGCAUCAUCCCCUCCGUGGGGCUAAUGGUUGUUGCCUUGUCUCCUGAACAAGAAGAGUGGUAAGGGAAAGUAGAGCCUGGAGACACGCACACACAUCCCUGUAUGGAAAGAAUCCCUGAAAGAGAACUGAAAAGCAAUUGAGGAGUCAGCCUAUGGGCUACAGACAAAGCGCAGAGCGAAGGAGAUAACCGGCAGUGAGCGCUGGGAAAUAAUGCCCUAAAUUCCCUCUGAGCCCAUUCAUCACCGUGGCUUCGGCGAUCAUCUCAGCAACAAAUUCCCUUAUCAUCCGGUUGGAAUUCAACGUUAAUGACCUGUCUGUUAUUUCAGAGGGAGAUGGACUGGAACCGGAGGGUAAUUGGUAGGAAAAAUCGCCGGGUACAGCAAAGAGCUGAUGCUAUUGGAGUAGUUACACCAUGAGAGAGGGAGAUUAAGGAGCUCUGCUCACCACAAGGGGCUUAUUCAUCCUGAAUAAAUGUGUUAACUGCCCAGAGCUGUCCUCCUACGCCCUCAUUCCUGUCUGGUGGCAUCUCCCAACCGCAGCUCACCCUGUUUUUCCCAACAAACAGCAGAGAUACGGCCCAGCAGAAGCUGAUAGAGUCAUAGAACACCCAGGGUUGGAAGGGACCCAUAAGGAUCACCAAGUCCAACUCCUGCUGGUGAGAUGAUCACGGUAAGGAAUAACCAGUUCUCUCCAAGCUCGCAUUGAUGGAUGCGUUUAUUUUGGAGUUCGCUCAGGGAAGGCCAUAAUUACUCUAAUUUCUUAAUUACCAAAAUUAUUCAGAAUGAUUCUGCAAACACCUCUGCCCUGCAACGCUUUGCACGAGGAGCCUCCCAGAUUGCAGCAGCAUGAGGAUUUGGGUCUGUUUCUCUGCUGGAAGGACUCACUGCGUUUAUUGCCAUUUCUCCUCGCCACCUGCAGGACAACUUCCCAUGUGCUUUGUGCAAAUUACAGCGCCCACGUUAGCGGGGCAGCCUGCAGCCCUCACCGAAAAUAGGAUGACUGGAGAGUGUCAGGAGAGAGCAAGAAGCAAGUCCAGAGGUAAAGCCUUGGCUCUGUUGCAAAGAAGGAUAGCUUUGCCUGGGACUUGAUGUCUGUGCUUUCUCUCAACAGUUUCCCAUUUCCACCUUCCACUUCCCAGCUAACAGGACCAGCACCAGUCAUGUUUCGGUGAGCACACCUGCUUUAUAAAUUAGCUCCCGGGAGUAUUUGCAAAAACAAAGCUGGAAGGCACGGCCAUGGGACUGGGUUUGCUGCAGAAAUACCAGCACGUAUUCAUAAUAAAGCAGCUGCACGCUUUGCCCAGCUCUGUCUGUAACUUCCCGUCAUGUCCUGUACCUUUCUGGGAAGAAAGAAUGGGUGAUGGUGGUGGGAAAAUUGCAUCACCGAGCCAAAAAGGAUUUUGCAAUCGCUUUUGAUGGAGCUGGGGCUGCUUUUAACUCUACGUAUUCCACAUGUCUCUGCGCAACCCUAUGGGUUCUCCACCAUUUUAGGCAGCGAUAGAGAAGAAAAAUGCUCCUUUUCCACAAAAAUACACCCUGGAGGGCCCACGGACACUGGGGAGGGACCUAAAUUUGAGGAAGAAACUGGCUUUCUCUGCAAGGAGCCUGAGGGAGUUCUCCUUCCAGGAUGCGCUCCUGAGUGUGUGUGGGAUUUAACGCAGCCAGGACUGCACAGGAGGGUCAGCCCUAUGCCCUACGUGCAAGGCAGGCACUACUGCUGCCUGUCCCCAUCAUCACUGCAGGGUGACAUGAGUUGGGGACCAGGUGUGAUGAGGAGCUCUCGUGGUGCCUCUUUCCAAGCUGCAGACCCAGAAGUUGGGUUUCUUCCCUACAGCCCCAUAAAGAGCUGUCAACUGUUCCACCAGGAACCGAGAUGAUAAUCCCAGCUCGUUGCUUUCCUUUGCAUGGGAGAAUUUUCAUGCAAAAAAAAAAAAAAAGCGUCAACAAAAUGAAUCAAGCGCUCUGGUAGUGGCCCCGUUCCCACACGCUCCAUGUGCUCUUCCUCUUGACUCACCAGUGAGGAGGUGAUAUCAUGGGGAGGCUGUUCUGAAAAUGCUUUAAUCAAUUUAAUUCAUAGCCAGCUGCGGUAGGAGCAGGAAGGUGUUCCCUCCUUGUGCCCAGAGAUGGCCCAGUGUCCUCCAGCUGCCCCUGGAGAUGCAGCACUGUGCCCAGGUAGCAAGGCCUUGCUGCUGGUCAUCCACACCAAGCCUGGGAAUGAAACUUUUGGCAACAGCCUGGACCAAGCUCCAGUUUCUUCCUUCUUCAUUGAAAAGCAUGUUGACUGCUGCAGACAAACUAGAACCCAGCGUGUUCAUAAAAUAAAUCCCCACAUAACUGCAAUACAAUAUUUCUGCAAAAAAGGUUUUCUUAUCUUCAUUUUUCCCCCCUAUCUCUGUCUCUUUUUCCCCCCAUCUUGGACUAAUUGCUACCAGACCAGGAACCUUCAAACAGAUUUAUUUGGAGCCUUGGCGUGGGCUCACGGUGGCUGGAAAUCUUCUUGCUAUUCCUACAAAAAACAGAUUCUGGCUGGAGGGAAAGGAGAACUCCAGUGUUAGAGAUGACCUUAACAGCACACAUUGCAAAUGAGAUGGGAAGUGGAGAACUGCCUGAAACAUCUCUGGCCCUCUUAGAGAAGCUGCUUUCCCUUUGCUUUAUCAAGGCUGAGCUGCAAAUGUUGCAAGGAUGAACCCAGCAGUCUGCUGCUGUUUCUUUUUGCAUGUUCUCAAGGCAGCUCCCAGAAUAAGUUUGAACACUGUCUAACACUGAACAUGCUGAUGCAUCCCAUGCUUAUGUGUCCAUGUGCGACAUGGCUGGAAAUGAUGUGGUGCAGGGUCCUCGGGAUUUGCAGCAGAAAUAGAUUGGGCUCCUGAAAGCAUCGCCCAGGAUUGCUAUGGUCCAGAGCAGGCCCAGCACUAGGAAAGAUGCUCUGCUUCAAGCUGGGGUUGUGCUUGGUGGGAGUUGAGGAUUACACACCUUCCUCCAGUUGGAUAUUUCAAACAAUGGUGCAAACAAUGGAAAACCCCUUGAAAGAAUGCUAUCCUGAGUGCUGUCCCCCUAAGAGGAGAUGCGUGUCAGGAGAUAUAUUGGCCAUGUGAGUUUCUGAGUCGUUUCAGCUGUGAACAGUGUACACUAACCAAGAUUUAGCUAAUGGGUACAUUGGGACAUGCACAUAGAUACGCUCUCCUUUUGAGUCCUUCUCUUUACCUUUCAACCCCUGAAAUCAUCCAAGCUGCUAACACUCUGAGGAGGAUGACGCAGCAAAAAUAAUAGUUUUAGCAAGAAACAGAAAAAUGAGAUUUGCAAAUGUUUUUCUGGGAAAAACAUCAAGUUUUCCUGCUUAGAAAAUGAAUGGGUUGGAAUCCGGCUUGUAAAACUUGAAGCCUGACUCGGGCCCUGAUUUGUCACGGGGCUGUCACCUGUGGUCAUUGUUAGUGAGGACUCCUCAAUGUUCUGUCGAAAAGGAAAGAUUGCUCUCUGUGUUAUUGAUGGAUUCGUGUUUGGGGAAGAGCAAAUCCUUGUCAAGCUGGAGGAGCUUUCUGUGCAUUAAGCGGUGGGUGCGGAAAGUUAGGGGAACACAGAACCAUCCCUCCUCGCUGCAGAGCAGCUCCCAGGGAGCGCAGUGAUAAAUGGAUUGCAGAAAACUUGGGGGUUCAGCUCGGCCAGGGGAAAUAACAGUGGUGUCUAUCUGAUCUCUGCAAACCUGAUUUUCCGCUUACGCGCCAGACGAUAAAUCAGCGGUACAUGUGCUUAUGUUGGCACGCCAAGUUUUCCCCUGGAUGCCGGUCUAUAGGCACGCUCUCCUUUGGCCACAAGAGCUCAGAUCUGGUGCAGAAACCACGAGCACGGUGCUGGCAGGUGGCAUCCCAACCCAACAACACUGCAUUGCCCUUGGCUGGACAGCCAGAGCCACCACAGUGCAGCACAGCCACGGGAGGAGGACGGCAAGCGCUCCAGGCGAACCUCUUCAAACUGAUUUUGAAACUGGGGCAAAAGUUGAAAUAGGGUUUAAUUUUAUCUCGAUUGAUUCAUCUGUCCCUAAUUAGUAAUAGCUUCCUAAUGCAUGACGCAAGGAUGUGUGGAGGUUUUUUUAAUGAAUAACUCUUGGCUAAGAUAAAAUGUUGCUGUUCUCAGAUUGUCUCAGAUAGUUCUUUUUAUAUGCCAAUAGAGAUUUGUGCAGUCUAAGAUGAAAAAUACGUGAGAUCCCACAGUCACACACGCUGAAGACUAAACUCUUUUAGAUUAUGGAUCCUAUCUUGUUCCCAAUUUAUUUUGUACAUCCUGUUUUAGUAUCUGUAUUUGCUUUUACUGAGAGAGGAGCCUCAGUCUCCCAGAACUGCAGUGCGUGAUGCUGUGCAGGGAUGGAGCAAAAACUGCUCCUUGCACACAGGGCAAUUUUUCAUGGGAACAGUGUGAAAUUACUGAUUUUUCUGUUUUCAGGGGGAAAGUUGUACCGGCUUUGCCUUACUUUCUCUUUCUGUCCUCUUCCCCAUUUCCUCUCUCCUUCCCGCCCAUGGGUCAAGGGGCUGGACAUAAACUUGAGGCCACGUGGCAGGGAUGCAGGAGGCGGAGCAGUGCCCGUGGGCUGUAUUUGGGUUGAAUCUCACGAUCCCAGGCGGCAGGAGGUUCGGGAUGCACACAUCCUGUUCCUGGGCAGCAUAGCUCGGAGCUAGUCCCUCUCACCCCAUAGCGCACCGCUCGUCCACAUCAUUCCUCCGCUCCUACUCAUACCUCCUCGUGCCAUCCAACAUAUUUCAUCCCAGUCCUCUGUCCUCACACCCCUGAAACCCUUCCAAGCUGCUAUCGUGUCCCUUUCUACAGCGCACCUCUCCAAGCCAAGCCAUACCCCCAGGCUCUAAUCCCAUCCCAUAAAUCAAUCUCUCCAGGGCCCUGGCUGUAUUCUCUGAUAUCCAGGGGCUGUGCGGCUCCUCCUGCGCUCACAUCUCUUCUCCCUACAUCAGUAAAAUCCCAGAGACACACAGCGGGGUGAGGCUCAGGUUUCUGGGCUCAUUUUAUAACUGGUGCUGCAGAGCUCUCUGCAUGGUGAGGACCCAGGGCAGGACACGUCGAGCAGAUGGCGAUUCUGGACUGCAGAUGAGGGCUGAGUUACGGCGCUCGCAGCACAUCUUUGAUACACGUCCAGCUUUUAUCAGAUGGUUCCACUCAGUGUUUGGCACAGCUGAUGCGAAGGAAAGGCCGAGGAGCAGCCCAGCAGCGGGAGCAGCCCCUCAUCCCUAGGGCUGUCCCCCUCUGUGCACUGAGCCGGGGCUUCCCCUGCUUCUCCCACUCCUCCAGUACUGACACAGCUUUACCCCUGUGUAGAAAACUGCUGAUAUGCUUGAAGCUCCCCCAGGCUGCACGGGCUCCGCUCCCUCUGCCACAUCAGCGCGUGUUGCAAGCGGCUGGGAGGAUGGAGAGCAUGUGAGCAUUUCUUGGAGCUAGAAGGCUCUGCUCCUCAGGUUUUGGCUUCAGAUGACCCGAGCUCCUAAUGCACUCCGCACUUAAUUCACCCUUGCCAGUGCAAAUGCUCUUAUUUAUGAGGUUGGUAAUCACUUUCUAUCAACACGCUCUGGAAGUCUGCUCCUUCCACAGAACA